CCUACGGGAGGCUGCAGUGGGGAAUAUUGCACAAUGGGGGAAACCCUGAUGCAGCGACGCCGCGUGAGUGAAGAAGUAUUUCGGUAUGUAAAGCUCUAUCAGCAGGGAAGAAAAUGACGGUACCUGAGUAAGAAGCCCCGGCUAACUACGUGCCAGCAGCCGCGGUAAUACGUAGGGGGCAAGCGUUAUCCGGAUUUACUGGGGGUAAAGGGAGCGUAUACGGCAGGACAAGUCUGGAGUGAAAGGCCGGGGCUUAACCCCGGAACUGCUUUGGAAACUGUGCAGCUGGAGUGCAGGAGAGGUAAGUGGAAUUCCUAGUGUAGCGGUGAAAUGCGUAGAUAUUAGGAGGAACACCAGUGGCGAAGGCGGCUUACUGGACUGUAACUGACGUUGAGGCUCGAAAGCGUGGGGAGCAAACAGGAUUAGAUACCCGAGUAGUC
rnacentral:rRNA from 1 species